rnacentral:pre_miRNA from 15 species
GCCAGAAGCCAUUCGAGGAUAUUUGAGGGGAGGUUAUCCGUGUUCUGUUCGUGUCAUUCGUCAUGAAUAAUACAUGGAUAACCUCUUUUUGAAUAUCAGACUAUUCCUCGAGGGCC